ACAAGAAGCUGACAUGAGCCCUUGUUUCCAGUAUGUGAGUCAUCAUUGCCACCAAUGGUCUGGGUCAUUGGCUGUGCACACACAUCCACAGACAGUACAACAACAGCCUCUAGUCCCUUGUUGCUGACCUUUGGGAAGCUGGGCAUGUAAGGCCAUACAUGAUCUACAGUGUACUUGUAGAGGUCAGAGGACAACUUGCAGGAGUCAUUUCUCUGCUUCCACAAUGUGAGUCCUGGGGAUCCAACUGAAGUCAUCAGAAGCAGUACUCGGGCUUCUAUUACACUUUAAUACGAUCUACAUAUAAGUAGAACAGGGGAGAAAACAGUGAACUUUCCAUGCAGAACCAACUCCUGGAGAAGAACCAAGUGUGGUGUGGUCUGGUCAGCCUGUUACCUAAGCAAGAGUGACAAGAUCAUGUGGGACUCACCAGGUGAGUCAUUUCCUUUUCUCUUCCCAUCCGUGUGACCAGCAGCUGGUCUGUGAUGCCUUGUAGGAACACAUCCUGUUGAGCAGGUAGCAGCAAGAGCAGCACACUGUAGAACAAUGACAUUCAUAGACUCC